AUGAUCCGAUCUCACAAAGGUGCUCCGAAGUGUACCAAGAGACACCUGGAGCGUAAUCCCAUUUCUACAAGUGGAUUGUCAUCAUUGUGCAGAGCCUUGCUGAUAUUCUGUGACAGACCCAAAUUUACUACACAUGCUCUGAAGCGAUCACCUUUUCUAGAGUUUCUUCUGCCUGCUUUUGAGUUGGAUGACAAGAAGCAAAGACCAACAGGUCCUCUAGACCAGCGUCAGAAAUGGAGAGCCCUUCAAGAGAGAACAUCCAGUUCCAGAGUGACCAGACUAUCAGGAUAGGAAAACUGAAAACAAAAUUCUGAGCUUGCUUUUAUUUUGCUAAGUAUGGAUGAAAAUUUUUUUUUCCCUUUACUAUCACUAUUUCAUAAACGACAGGAUGUUUUAACACUGAAAAUAAAGGUAGAAAGAGUCAACUUUCAAAUUGAAUGACUUCAACUCUACAAAAUAUUGUAUUUGUUUUCUUCACCUCACAGUAGCCUGGUAUUUGACAACCACUGAUGUGGUCCAACCCCUUAUUGUAAGAUGAGGAAAAAAGCUGGUAGGAGGAAGUGUUUUGCCUGAGGUUACACCAGGCUAGCCUUUUCCUGGCUUUACAGGGACUAAUGACCUUUGGGUUCUGUAGGUCCUUGGAACCAAAUGAACUAAGGAAGCUCUAAAGAUGAAGGAUGUGUUGCUUAUCUAUUUAUUGCCUCACAGCUCCAAAUGCAUUCUUCAAUACCUGUAAUAUUACAAGAGAAUUCCUUCAAACAUUUCUCCACUAAAGGGAGUGUGGUGUUAAGAUUUCUCAGUAGAGGGCUAUGGAGGCACAUUCCAGGACAAAGAGGCUUCCCCAAGUUUCUGGGUGAGGCUGGUGUCAGCCCUGUGAGUGUGAAGAUUUCCAUCCAGUGUAGCCUACCCCAGCUGUGGGCCCAGGAAACCAUCCAUCUACAACCUUACAGCCUCUUCUUGUGAUACCCUUUCCAUAGCUCUCUUGACAUGGAAACCAAAGCUCCUGCCUGGCCCACACACAGGUACUUUUGCCUAGAGGGUCAUACACAGGAUAGCCAUUCCUUCUGCAAGUUUCCGUGGGGCCACAUUCUCUGAAGGCCUCUUCCCUGCUGGUGUCCAGGCUCCCACUGCAUAUCCACACCAGUGGCUGCUGACUGACUACUGCCUGCUCUCCAGCCACAUUCUAGAGGUCAGCUGUUGCUUAGCAACCGGUGGACCAGCCCUGGCCUGGCCAAACCAUCUAACAUUGCUGCUUAUCCAGUGGGCUAAGCCACACCUUCUCCAACGAGGUCUCAACUCCUUCCUUGAGUACUCUCUCUGAACCGUAGCAUACUGUAUAGGAUUUACUUUUAUCUUUUUUUUUUUUUUUUUUUUUUGAGAUGGAGUUUUGAUCUUGUUGCCCAGGAUGGAGUGCAAUGGCAUGAUCUCGGCUCACAGCAACCUCCACCUCCCAAGUUCAAGCGAUUCUCCUGCCUCAACCUCCCGAGUAGCUAGGUUUACAGGCACCCGCCACCACGCCCAGCUAAUUUUUUUGUAUUUUUAGUAGAGAUGGGGUUUCACCACGUUGGUCAGGCUGGUCCUGACCUCAGGUGAUCCACCCACCUCGACGUCCUGAAGGUUGGGAUUACAGGCGUGAGCCACCCUGCCAGGCCCCUUUUAUCUUAUAGAUACUCCUUUAUCAUAGUUAACAGUUCUUUGUAUUAAACUUCGAUUUUAUCCACUAUGUGGUUUCUAUUUCCUGAUUGGACCCAGAUCACUACUGAAGCUGAGCAUGAAGAGCUCUGAACAGCCUUAUGAAAAGGCACAAAGACAAGAGGUUGCUGUUUGACACUCAAAAGAUUCAUGCUUAAAAAAUGAAAGAAGAC
rnacentral:lncRNA from 1 species